CGACGAGUUUGAUCCUGGCUCAGAUUGAACGCUGGCGGCAUGCUUUACACAUGCAAGUCGAACGGUAACAGGGACUUCGGUCUGCUGACGAGUGGCGAACGGGUGAGUAAUGCAUCGGAACGUACCGAGUAAUGGGGAUAACGCAUCGAAAGGUGUGCUAAUACCGCAUACGCCCUGAGGGGGUAACGCGGGGGAUCGAAAGCCUCGCGUUAUUCGAGCGGCCGAUGCCGGAUUAGCUAGUUGGUGGGGUUAAACGGCUCA
rnacentral:rRNA from 1 species